GUAGUGUAAUUUUAACUUGUUAUGUUGUUAAUUUGAUUUAUCAAAUUACUCAUUCCACUUAUUUUGAUAUCACUUAUUUUAACUUAUUUUGAUACGCUAAUGCUUGGUCAGGUAAAGGCUGACCAAGCUAAUGAUGCUUAGCUGAUUUUUCGGAUGAUCAGCCCCAUUGGGACCGAGACAAGGCUCGGACUUCCAUGGGGCAGCAAUGGGGAAUCUUGGACAAUAGGCGAAAGCCCGAUCUAGCAAUAUCGUGUGAGUGAAGAAGGGCAAUGCCGCUUAGAAAGCUCUUUCGUCGAGUGCGCGAUCAUGACAGGACUCGAGGAUGAAGCCCCCGGUAACUCCGUGCCGGCUAAAAAGUUUAUUCAAUAUAUGGAUUCGUUAAGGCGAC
rnacentral:ncRNA from 1 species